rnacentral:rRNA from 1 species
CAAUAGCGUAUAUUAAAGUUGUUGCGGUUAAAAAGCUCGUAGUUGGAUUUCUGUUGGGAACGACCGGUCCGCCCAUUGGGUGUGUAUCUGGCUUGUUCUCGGCAUCUUCUUGGUGAACGUUGCUGCACUUGACUGUGUGGAGCGCUACCCAGGACUUUUACUUUGAGGAAAUUAGAGUGUUUCAAGCAGGCAUAUGCCUUGAAUACAUUAGCAUGGAAUAAUAAGAUAGGACCUCGGUUCUAUUUUGUUGGUUUCUAGAGCUGAGGUAAUGAUUAAUAGGGAUAGUUGGGGGCAUUCGUAUUUAACUGUCAGAGGUGAAAGUCUUGGAUUUGUUAAAGACGGACUACUGCGAAAGCAUUUGCCAAGGAUGUUUUCAUUGA